CCUCCUCCUUGGGAGUUGGGAGCAAGGAUAGAAGAAGAGAAGAAAAGCGGGGAAUGGCAACAUCUCUGAGUACACCCAAGCUAGGCACUACCCUCACUUUCCAAACCCUUUCGCUCUGCAAAAAGUUCCCAAAUUUUCCCUCCUAUCAAUUCAGAACCCUAGACGUUGGCGUUUUUCUCUCUAGCGGCCGAUGGAGCCACUCCUUUCUACGCUGCCGCCCCAUCAGCACCACUACUCCCCGGGCCGAAUCUACAAAUGGUGCUGGCUCCGAGCCAGAUCGUAACUACGACUUUGACCUCUUCACCAUUGGCGCUGGUAGCGGCGGUGUCAGAGCUUCGCGCUUCGCUGCCAAUUUCGGGGCUUCUGUUGCCGUUUGUGAGCUUCCUUUCUCCACUGUCUCCUCUGAUAUCACCGGCGGCGUCGGCGGCACGUGUGUUCUUCGUGGAUGCGUACCGAAGAAGCUACUAGUCUAUGCGUCCAAGUAUUCUCAUGAAUUUGAAGAGAGUUGUAGUUUUGGAUGGAACUAUGAAACUGAGCCCAAACAUGAUUGGAGUACCCUGAUUGCGAACAAAAAUGCAGAAUUGCAGCGCCUAAAUGGCAUCUACAAGAACAUUUUGAAAAAUGCUGGUGUCCAGUUGAUUGAAGGACGAGGAAAGGUUGUGGACCCUCACACAGUGAAUGUCAAUGGAAAACUCUACUCUGCAAAAAACAUACUUAUUUCAGUUGGAGGACGCCCAUUUAUUCCAGAUAUUCCUGGAAGUGAAUUUGCUAUUGAUUCUGAUGCAGCCCUUGAUUUGCCAUCAAAACCCACAAAAAUUGCAAUAGUUGGUGGUGGAUAUAUAGCUGUUGAGUUUGCUGGCAUUUUCAAUGGCUUAUCAAGUGAAGUCCAUGUAUUUAUAAGACAGAAGAAAGUCUUGAGGGGCUUUGACGAAGAGAUCAGGGAUUUUGUUGGAGAACAGAUGGCAUUGAGAGGAAUUGAGUUCCACUCCGAAGAGUCACCUCAGGCUGUUGAAAAAUCAUCAGAUGGCACGUUCUCUUUGAAGACAAACAAAGGAACAGUGGACGGUUUCUCUCAUAUCAUGUUUGCAACAGGACGUAAACCAAAUACAAGGAAUUUGGGACUGGAGGAUGUUGGAGUCAAAUUGACAAAAAAUGGAGCAAUUGAGGUUGAUGAAUAUUCCCGUUCGUCAGUUCCAUCAAUUUGGGCUGUUGGAGAUGCUACUGAUAGGGUAAAUUUGACUCCAGUCGCCUUAAUGGAGGGUGGGGCACUGGCAAAAACUCUUUUUGCUAAUGAGCCAACAAGACCAGAUUACAGAGCUAUACCAUCUGCCGUGUUUUCACAGCCACCAAUUGGGCAAGUUGGUCUCACUGAAGAACAGGCCAUAAAAGAAUAUGGUGACGUUGAUAUUUUCACAGCAAACUUCAGGCCAUUAAAAGCAACUCUCUCUGGUCUUCCAGAUCGAGUUUUUAUGAAGCUUAUAGUAUGUGCAAAGACAGACAUUGUCCUGGGGUUGCACAUGUGUGGAGAUGAUGCCCCAGAAAUUGUGCAGGGUUUUGCAGUGGCAGUGAAAUCUGGCUUGGCAAAAUCAGAUUUUGAUGCAACAGUUGGUAUUCACCCAACAACGGCAGAGGAGCUUGUCACAAUGAGGACACCAACACGAAAGGUUCGAAGGAGUGUGCCUGAGGGAAAGACAGACUCCGAGAUUAAAGCCGCUGCUGGAGUUUGAACUAGUUGGCCAAGCAAUUUGUGCGAUGCAUAACAUUCAAAGUUUGGAGGGUUAAUCUUUCAGACAAGGAAACUUAACAGUGCCUGGUGGAUAUAGAAAGUACGGAAGUCAUUCGCAAUCAACAGUUGGCGUGGAAGUUUUAUGCAUGGCAGAUCCGUGAGAUCUCCCCUACAUCACGUUGUACAUAAGAUGUCCCUGACAUGAUAUUAUUAUUGUCUGGAGCAGCCACGAUGGUGGUGAAGUCAACCGGUGUUUGUAGAUUUACUUUGUUGAAUAAUUUGCAAGAUUGCCUGCAAAUAGAGCAGUUAAUAGGUUCUCUUCCCUUUGGUGAUUGAGCUAGGAACGAAAUUUAUAAAGGACUUGUUAAACCAGAUUUCGUGAGUGUAUAAGAACGGUUCUGUUACAAGUGUUUCUUUUAUAUUUAGUAAAUUUUCUAGUGACGGAACGUGAUGGCGUAA